GAAGCUUUUUCAAAAAGCCGACGGCUGCACCAGCAGCACCACCAGCAGCAGCGCCAACAGCUGCUGCAAAACACACUGAUGUACCAGGUCAGCUGCCAUCCUGCAGUAAAGACAUUGGGUCAUCUGCAGACUGCAGAUUUCUACUGCAGACUGCAGUAGCAUCAGCCAGUGAACCACCACAAACAAGUGCUGUUUCAGUGGACGGUGGGGCAUAUGUUAAUGUUCAUGCUCUGAGGUCUGGGGGCCAGUCCAAGCUCAUGGUUCCUAAGAUGAGACUUAAAACCAGGGUGGACAGGGCAUUCUCUGUUGUUUGUCCCAGACUCUGGAACACUCUGCCCGUCUGUGUUUGAACAGCCCCCACUGUGGAGGGUUUUAAGUCUCGUCUGAAGGCCCACUUUUAUUCUCUGGCUUUAACACUGUGUGACUUGUAUGGUCCUAUGUGUCUUUUACUGUUUUAGCUGAUUGUCCUAUUUUAUUUUAUUUUAUUGGAUUGGAUUUAUUGUAU